UCCUGUCAAUGAUGAUUCCCAAUUUACCUACCUUGUUUGAGUGAUUCUGAAAAGAGAACAUGGCUGAGACAGUG